GAUGAACGCUGGCGGCGUGCCUAAUACAUGCAAGUCGAGCGAACAGACGAGGAGCUCGCUCCUCUUACGUUAGCGGCGGAUGGGUGAGUAACACGUGUAUAACUUACCUAUAAGACUAGGAUACCUUCGGGAAACCUGAGCUAAUACCGGUUAUUAUAUUGAACCUCAUGGUUCUAUAGUGCAAGCCGGUUUUGCUGUCACUUAUACAUGGUUCCUCGCCGCAUUAGCUAGUUGGUAGGGUAACGGCUUACCAAGGCAACGAUGCGUAGCGGAUCGGAGAGGAUGAUCGGUCACACUGGAACUGAGACACGGUACAGAAUCCUACGGGAGGCAGCAGUAGGGAAUAUUCCGCAAUGGGCGAAAGCCUGAGGCAGCAACGCCGCGUGAGUGAAGAAGGUCUUCGGAUAGGAAAACUCUGUAAAUAGGGAAGAACAAAUGUGAAAGUAGAUAUGCACGUCUUGACGGUACCAAAUCAAAAAGCCACGGCUAACUACGUG
rnacentral:rRNA from 1 species